CUAAAGCCAAAUCUGAGCAAGAUUCCUGAGUCACGAUUUUUCACUACUGUGUCAUCAGACUGAACAAUACCUCAAGCAGCAGUACAAGUUAGAUACUGAUAUAAGGUCCUGCAUAAGACUUUAAUGCUAAGAGACUUCUGACGUGUCUAGUAGAGCAACAGGAGUUUCUUCCAGUUUGCAACAAGAUGCCUAUGAACUCCCAGUAUUCUGUUUACUGCAAGCAAAGAUGUGGAGAACUCUGAAGGUGAGGCUGCGACAGCCCGAGGCAAAGGAGCGAUGUCUCAGCUCCUCUAUCAGGUAGAGGUGCUGUGCUGACAAGGGAGGACUGUCUCUGCAUCUGAGGAGUGGGUUGCACUGAACACUGAUGGAGAGCAGCUGCUGUGCCUUAGCUUCUCCUCACACAGGACUCCAGACCCAGCACUCUGCCAGCAGCAGGUAACUCCAGGGAAACUCCUUCCUAAAAAUGCCACUUGCUUCUGCAGCAGACUCCAGACAAGAGCUCUGUUAAGUGUCACUUUUCAACUUCUAAUGCCUGGUGAGCUGGGCACCUGCUGCUGCAGACAGCUACUGCCAGGAAAUGGUGACAGCAUCACUUUUGGAGGCAAGGGCAUAACCCCACUGGGGGUAUGGUAACUCAUGACCCUUGCAUUCCAAACUACAACUCGGAUGGAAGGCAGGUGUUAAAUGCAAACACAGCAAGU